GAUGAACGCUGGCGGCGUGCCUAAUACAUGCAAGUCGAGCGAACGGACGAGAAGCUUGCUUCUCUGAUGUUAGCGGCGGACGGGUGAGUAACACGUGGAUAACCUACCUAUAAGACUGGGAUAACUUCGGGAAACCGGAGCUAAUACCGGAUAAUAUUUUGAACCGCAUGGUGCAAAAGUGAAAGACGGUCUUGCUGUCACUUAUAGAUGGAUCCGCGCUGCAUUAGCUAGUUGGUAAGGUAACGGCUUACCAAGGCAACGAUGCAUAGCCGACCUGAGAGGGUGAUCGGCCACACUGGAACUGAGACACGGUCCAGACUCCUACGGGAGGCAGCAGUAGGGAAUCUUCCGCAAUGGGCGAAAGCCUGACGGAGCAACGCCGCGUGAGUGAUGAAGGUCUUCGGAUCGUAAAACUCUGUUAUUAGGGAAGAACAUAUGUGUAAGUAACUGUGCACAUCUUGACGGUACCUAAUCAGAAAGCAACGGCUAACUACGUG
rnacentral:rRNA from 1 species